UGUUAAGAUUUUCAUUUAUGUGUAGUGUUAAAAAUUAAUAUGACUAACGGAAUAACUCAACAAUGACGCGCAACAUGUCAUCUGUAUCUUAUGUUAAUAUACAAAGAUUUUUUUAACCGUAAAAAUGAAUGAAAUUUUUAAUA
rfam:Gossypium hirsutum cultivar TM-1 unplaced genomic scaffold scaffold445.1, whole genome shotgun sequence